UCCAGAGAGGUUUAUGGUUCGCUGAGGUUCUUUUCUCUCCGUAAGCUCCGAGGAGUCAGGGCCCUAGGGUUUGCGCCACCCGCGCCAGCAGGCAGCCACAGGAGCCCGAAUCGCGCCGCCUGCAUCAAGAACAGUUGGGAAGCGGACGGGAUUCAGCCGCGCCGUUGGCCCGCAGCUUGUGGUCCCCCGCCGUCGGUUACCAGCGGCGGCCAGCCGGUGCCAAUCAGGGCCGACGGCGGCCAAUGCGCGAGCGGGAGGGGAGCGCUCAGCUGUCAUAGAACCAGGUUCCCACUACUGCUGAUGUAGGGGAGAUGCUCCUGGAGCCAACAGCAAAGCGUGCCUGUGCAGGUGGACCCUCCGGAGCCAGCACCAGUGACCUGUUAAGUGCCCUGCCUGAUGGCGUCCUCCAUAUCAUCCUGUCCUUCCUCCCGGCAUGGCAUGCUGUGCAGACUUGUGUGCUGUCCCGGCGAUGGAGGGACCUAUGGUGCUCUAUGCCCUACAUCAACAUUGAUGAGCGGGAGUUCGGCGUUGGGGCAUGCCGCCAGAUCAAGGAGAACUGGGAUGAUUUUGUGGAUUUCACCACCAACCUGCUCUUAUUUCAUCGCAAUUCUGUGUACUUGGAUAAGUUCCAGAUCUAUGCUCAUGAUUCUAGCCAGCAAUAUGUGGAUAGAUGGAUUUGGCUUGGAAUAAGUACUGCCCUUCCGUGCUUGAGAUUCAAAUACCUUACUAUGCGGAUGAUCUUCCCUUCAAGUUGCCUCACCUAAGUUCGGGUCUUUCUCGCCUCAAAAGACUCCGUCUUUCCAAUUUAAAAUUGGACAGCCAUUUUUCUGAGCUGAUUGGUUCUGGUUGUCCUGCCUUAGAAGAUUUGGAGCUUACUUGUUGCUUGAAUUAUUCUCGAGACAUUAAGUCGUCCACGGUGAGGAAGUUGGUUCUUAAUUAACACCUCUUAUGAUCUCAAUUAUCUUGAAGCUGGUCAGCCAAUGCUUAUCAUGACCCCCAAUCUUGAAUCCCUUGAAUUGACGAUUCCAGGCGCUGCCUAUCAAAAUGGUAUUUCUGUAUGCAGUGCAACUUUGCUUGUCAAAGCAUCAGUUCAUAUUCAGUUCAAUGAAUAUUUCCCUGUGAAGCAUCAACGCAGUCUUCUUCGUGGACUGUUCAACGUGACAAGUUUAGAGUUGACCCACUACAAGACAAUGGCAAUGCUCGAUAGGAACUCAGAUAAAUUCCCAAUGUUUCCUAACUUGCGUCCCUUGUCACUAAAAAGAUGCUUCCUUGAUGAUGAAUGUGAUUGUGAUAUGGGACGCAAAUUGGAGGAUCUAGGAAGCUUCCUUCAGAACGCUCCUUGUUUGGAGAAGCUUACUUUGUGGUGUUGCAUGGUCCAAAACUUUUGCUUAGAUUCUGGGCUUGAGUGGGUAUCAAGAGGAGAAGCAUCUGUCUGAAAAGCCAGGAUCGAAAGACUUUUCGAUGUCCGAUGCUGAAGUUGAUAGAGGUCAUGUACGAGCAUGAUCAUGAACACCUACUCGUUGAACUUAUGUGGGGCAUUGCAAGGAGGUUGCCAGACGCUAGUGUUAAACUCACCAAAAUCUAGAUGAUUUCGGGUUGGUCCCCUUUGCAGGUCUCUUGGCCAAGUGCUCUAGAUGAUAAUUGUAUAUCGCACACGAAUUGAGGUACAUGAAAAUACCAUUUUUCAGGACAGUUAGCCACCAGGGUCUUUUUUUCAUGGUUGCAAAUUUGUGUUGGCGACCACUUACCUCGAGGUCUCCAAGAUAAUUUUGGUGAAGGUCAAAUGUCAAGAAAAAGAAU